UUUUGCAUGUGGGAUGCUGCCACAGCAAGGCCUCAUGAGCAGUGAGUAGGUCCACACCCACGAUCCGAACAGGUGAACGCUGGCCCCCGAAGAUGGAACAGG